rnacentral:tRNA from 1 species
GCAGCCGUGGCCUACUGGUUAGGGCUUCAGGCUUGGAACCGAAGGGUUGCCGGUUCGAUCCCCGACCAGUAGGA